rnacentral:lncRNA from 1 species
CCCACUGUUUCUAACCACCAGGUGGCCACAGAGUGCAUCUGCUCUGGGGGACUCAUCGCUCAUAUACCCUCCCAGAAGAGCAGGAAAGGGGAUUCGUAAAUAUAUUCUUCUGAUGGGGAAUGCUCUAUGAGGCCGCCUUCACAUGUGUGGAAGAUGAUCAAAGUAUGACAUUUCUUCUACCCCAGAGGCUGGCAUUUCUGCAGGCACAAAUGAGCUUGGUUUUCAAGCACUGCUCUUUGAACACAAGGAAUUCCUUUAAUGAUCACGCCGGACUAUAUAGACUUUGGAAUCAGACUCUUUGAAUUCCAGCUCUGCCAUUUACCAACUUUGACACUUUGGACAACGUCUCAUUCUGUCACCCAGGCUGGAGUGCAAUGGCACAAUUAUAGCUCACUGCAGCCUCAAACACCUGGGCUCAAGCAAUCCUUCCACCUCUGCCUCCUGAGUAAUUGGGACUACAGGCAUGUGCCACCACACCCAGCUAAUUUUUAAUUUUUAAUUUUUUUGUAGAGAUGGCGGUCUUGCUAUGUCACCCAGGCUGGUCUUGAACACCUGGCCUCAAGUGAUCCUCCGGCCUUGGUCUCUCAAAGCUCUGGGAUUACAGACAUGAGCCACUGCACCCGGCUCUAUCUCCCCUUCCUAUGUGUGUUAGCUCUAGAACAAGAGAAGCCUUGUUGAGAUUCCUGGCUGCCCACCCCCCAUCACCUCUCUGACUUUGGGCAAGUUGCCUGGCCUCUCUCAGCCUUUAUUUUCUUUUUGUGAAAUGGGGAUAAUAAUAGUACUUGCCUCAUAGGCAAAAUGUUGUGAGAACUAAACGAGAAAAUGCAUGUAAAGCACUUGGCACUUAGUUCUUUUUAUGAUUAUAAUGAUAAUCAGACACAAUAAAUUAUGUCUCACAUCACAUGCUGUUUAGCCUAUUCACUGUUCUAUUUUUCCUGAAGUCAGUUCAGUGUGUAGCAUCCAGAAUUGAACAAAACACCCCCGAUGUGACCUGAUAGUGCAAAGUAAACUAUCAUCUCCUUCAUUCUAGGUAUUAUGUUUCUAUUAAUGCAGUCUAAAGGUAGGAUAUGAGUUGUUUUGUUUAUGUAUCUUUUUUUUUUUUUUUUCAGGGAUGGGGAAUGACUAUCUCCAAUUAAACUUCUCAGUAAAAUCUCUCCUCUUGUGUGUUGUGCUUUAGUAUUUAGUUUUGGAUACUAGUGCAGGAUCUUAAAUUUAUCCCAU